UAGGGAAUCUUCGGCAAUGGGGGGAACCCUGACCGAGCAACGCCGCGUGAGUGAAGAAGGUUUUCGGAUCGUAAAGCUCUGUUGUUAAGGAAGAACGAGUGUGAGAAUGGAAAGUUCAUGCUGUGACGGUACUUAACCAGAAAGGGACGGCUAACUACGUGCCAGCAGCCGCGGUAAUACGUAGGUCCCGAGCGUUGUCCGGAUUUAUUGGGCGUAAAGCGAGCGCAGGCGGUUAGAAAAGUCUGAAGUGAAAGGCAGUGGCUCAACCAUUGUAGGCUUUGGAGACUGUUUAACUUGAGUGCAGGAGGGGAGAGUGGUAUUCCAUGUGUAGCGGUGAAAUGCGUAGAUAUAUGGAGGAACACCGGUGGCGAAAGCGGCUCUCUGGUCUGUAACUGACGCUGAGGCUCGAAAGCGUGGGGAGCGAACAGG
rnacentral:rRNA from 1 species